AUAUUUUCUGAACAGAACCUUUUCCGAAAGUUUUCUUUCCAACAAUCUUUGCCCGUUUAAGAUCUUGCAUACAACCAGCAACGAUUUCAGAGGCGCUGGCACUAAAUUCGUUGACCAAAACAACCAGGGGCAGUUCUGGCCGAGCGAAUCGCCCAGAAGACUUAUGUAUUGAAUUCUCACUUUUUCGACGGCCCUCUGUAGUCACAAUUAAUUCUCCUUGAGCUAAAAACUUUUCACAAACCUUUACAGCCUGAUCGAGUAAACCACCUGGGUUAUGACGUA
rnacentral:ncRNA from 1 species